UGGCGGACGGGUGAGUAAUGUCUGGGAAACUGCCUGAUGGAGGGGGAUAACUACUGGAAACGGUAGCUAAUACCGCAUAACGUCGCAAGACCAAAGAGGGGGACCUUCGGGCCUCUUGCCAUCGGAUGUGCCCAGAUGGGAUUAGCUAGUAGGUGGGGUAACGGCGCACCUAGGCGACGAUCCCUAGCUGGUCUGAGAGGAUGACCAGCCACACUGGAACUGAGACACGGUCCAGACUCCUACGGGAGGCAGCAUG
rnacentral:rRNA from 1 species